rnacentral:rRNA from 1 species
GUUGGAAACGACUGCUAAUACCGGAUGAGCUGAAAAGUCAAAGAUUAAUCGCCUCAAGAGGAGCUCGCGUCUGAUUAGCUAGAUGGUGAGGUAAAGGCUUACCAUGGCGACGAUCAGUAGCUGGUCUGAGAGGAUGAGCAGCCACACUGGGACUGAGACACGGCCCAGACUCCUACGGGAGGCAGCAGUGGGGAAUUUUCCGCAAUGGGCGCAGGCCUGACGGAGCAAUACCGCGUGAGGGAGGAAGGCUCUUGGGUUGUAAACCUCAGAACUUAGGGAAGAAGAAAGUGACGGUACCUAAUGUAAGCAUCGGCUAACUCCGUGCCAGCAGCCGCGGUAAUACGGAGGAUGCAAGCGUUAUCCGGAAUCAUUGGGCGUAAAGAGUCGUAGGUGGCAAUUCAAGUCUGCUGUCAAAGACCGAAGCUCAACUUCGGGCCGGCGGUGGAAACUGAAAAGCUAGAGUAUAGUAGGGGUAGAGGGAAUUCCUAGUGUAGCGGUGAAAUGCGUAGAGAUUAGGAAGAACACCAGUGGCGAAGGCGCUCUACUGGGCAUAUACUGACACUGAGGGACGAAAGCUAGGGUAGCGAAAGGGAUUAGAUACCCCUGUAGUCCUAGCGGUAAACGAUGGAUACUAGGUGUUGUCUGUAUCGACCCAGACAGUGCCGAAGCAAACGCGUUAAGUAUCCCGCCUGGGGAGUACGCACGCAAGUGUGAAACUCAAAGGAAUUGACGGGGACCCGCACAAGCGGUGGAGUAUGUGGUUUAAUUCGAUGCAACGCGAAGAACCUUACCAAGGCUUGACAUCCUGCGAAUGGAGAGGAAACUCACCAGUGCCUUCGGGAACGCAGAGACAGGUGGUGCAUGGCUGUCGUCAGCUCGUGUCGUGAGAUGUUGGGUUAAGUCCCGCAACGAGCGCAACCCUCGUCCUUAGUUGCCAGCAUUGAGUUGGGGACUCUAGGGAGACCGCCGGGGAGAACUCGGAGGAAGGUGGGGAUGACGUCAAGUCAGCAUGCCCCUUACGUCUUGGGCUACACACGUACUACAAUGGUGGAGACAAAGGGAAGCGAAGCCGCGAGGUGAAGCGAAUCCCAGCAAACUCUGCCCCAGUUCAGAUUGCAGGCUGAAACUCGCCUGCAUGAAGGAGGAAUCGCUAGUAAUCGCAGGUCAGCAUACUGCGGUGAAUCCGUUCCCGGGUCUUGUACACACCGCCCGUCACACCAUGGAAGUUGGUCACGCCCGAAGUCGUUACUCCAACCCUUUAUGGGAGGAGGAUGCCGAAGGUGGGACUAGUGACUGGGGUGAAGUC